GCCCCUAUAGCUCAACUGGCAGAGCAACGGACUCUUAAUCCGCAGGUUGCAGGUUCAAAUCCCGCUGGGGGCA
rnacentral:tRNA from 1 species